AAUGCUGCGGGCUUUCAGCAACCUGCAGCCAUUCCCUUCUUGCUGCUGAUGGGGGUGCAAGGCUCUGCGGGCUGCUCUUCACAGAGGGUGCAGCCCUUGCUGUUUGUAGAAAUUCAACCCCAAACUGUCUCUUGAUGGUGUAAGAAUUUUCCAGACUAGGUCCCCCGACAAAUCCUGGGGAAGAGAGGGGGGCUCCUUUCCUUUAUCAUAUCUGCCUGAUUGACUGAAAACCAUCAGUGACAUAUUUCCCCUUACAUUUAGUUUUUGGUUUACCUUCCGGAGCUUGCAAUAGCUGUUUCCUUCCCCUCAGUUUGCUCAGAUGUCCAGGUUCUUACAGAUAGCGAAACCGAGACCUAGAGGGGUGAAAGACGACCCGAGAGCGAAUGGGAGAGCCCCCCAGGAACCCAGACUGCUAGGCUUUUGAUGAGCUGCAUAAAUGGGCCAGUCAUUAAUUGGCAAGUGCUGACAUCAGGGAUAAACUGGUGAGAUUACAAAGCCUUUUGUCCCAUCUUGUGUGUACCUUACAGAGUCUUUUCAUUGUAUCCCCAACACCUGACAGGGUGCUGGGCACAGGGCAGAUGCUUGAAUAAAUGAAAUUUCGUGUAGUUAUAACAUUGGAGGGGUCAGCAUCAUUGUGAGGUGUUUUAGAACAGUGGUCCGUAGAUUUUGUACUUUUGCCCUUCACAGAUCAGUUUUUUUUAGUUUUCAUCAGGAGCAAUGCCACAAAAUUAUCAACUUUUAACCUUAUCCCACAAGGGUUUUUGUUUGUUUGUUUGCUUGUUUGCAAAUAAAACCCUGCCAUUAUCCACAAGGCUAAUGGUGUCAGCAUCACCCCAGGCCAGCUCCCUGGGCCAGUGGAAUGCGCUUGGAGUCCCUUCCUUAAGUUUACCCUUUCAUCAUGUAAACAGCUCCAGACCGCUUCCUCUCCCACCCACAGAAUUGCCUGCUGGCCUGCCCUCAAUAUGAUUCCUGUCCUGGAUCCCUCAUUUCCUUUCCUGGUCCUGAGUCCCUUCUCUUCAACCGGGUCUCCCUGCUCUCCAUUUAAGAGACGUUGCCUUCACCCAGGGCACUUUUGCAUUGUGAUCCCAUGUGAUCCCGGCAUCUACCUUUUUAGGUAAAUAGGCUGGGUGAUGUCACCCCCAUUUUUGAGGGAAGGAAAUUGAAAGACUGAACUGAAGGAAGUUACUGAAAGGCUCAAGGCUCAGGCUUCCCGGCGUCUGACUGUGCUCGUUCUGUAUUACUGCACUCUUCUUGUCACGGCCCAGCUGUCCUCAUCAGAAGACCUGGGCUUGACUCCACACUGUUGGAGCUCUUUGACUUUGGGUCCCAGCUUCUACAAGACCACUUUCUCAUGUAGAAAAAUGGAAAUGAUCAUGUCUACCCUAUGGCAUUAUGGGUGUUAUAUGAAAUUAACUUAUGAAACGUAAUGACAACCUUUAACGUUGUACAUUUAGGGACGAUCACACACGAUUCCCCUGGAUCUUUACAAUGCUUGCCUGAGUUCGUGAAACUAAGAUUCACCCCAAUUUGACGAAUGAAUGACCCUGAGACAGGGAACGUCACCCAGGUGGUUAGAAGCAGAACUAGCAUGGAAUUCUGUCUCUGGACUUCUGGUCCUAUGUGCAUUCUCUUAUGCCUCUGCUUCCCAGAGUCCAAUGAACUUGGGUCCUGUACAGGUUAAAUGAAGGAUUUUCAAAUAACCAUCAAAACAAACAUCUCUCUUGGCUGUAAGUGUCUCUUUGCAGGUGGAAGCCUUGAGAUCCAUGCCCAUCUGAUCAGGGAAUCUGUACAGCACAUUGUUCAUCCCUUGGUGCUGACUUUAGCUUCUCAGACCGUCGGGUUCUAACGAUCUGUGAUUCUUUGAGAGGGAGCGUGACUUUCCCCCAGCAGCUUUUAAAAUGGUCUCUCUGCUGUGUCAAACUAGAAGCAUGUGGCCCACUUCUCUGGACCCCCUGAGCCUGACAAAAUGUUGUAUCAAAAGGACAAGGAAGGCGACUGCUACGGUGGAAGACAGCGAGGGCUUUCUGGCUCGACACUUUUACCUCCGGUUUUAAAGUCUUCCUGUUCAGGUGUUGCCCGUUCUUGUAAAGGGCUCAGAUUUCCAUCCCACUGAUGGAGAGGAGGCUGCCAAGGGCUAACCUAAUAUUUGGGGUGGGAAGUGCGUUUUGUGAGGAGGCAGAAGUGGUUUCCUUUUUCACCCCGAACUCAUUUCAUUUCCCAUCCUAGAGGAGAAGGCAGGCAUUGUCCUGCAAAACUGCCCUCAGCCAUUGCCAGCCUGGUGCUUCUUUUCCCAAAGUAGCCUUGUUUUGGCCUUCAUUUCUUCCUGUGGCAUGGAAAGUGUAAUCCCUGGUUUGUGCUGAGUUUUGCGGAGCCCUGCGACAAACUGCACUUACCCACUGUCCUUUUAGUGGUGCCAGUGCUGCGUGGAACCAGGAUUUGAACACAGCAGUCAGAUGGGAAGAUGGGGGCGGGGGGAGGUGGUGGUGGUGAAGAGUGGAUGUGUGAGAGCCCCAGGAGCCAGGAAUGACGUGGGAUUAGCGUGGGUAAUGGAACAGAAAAAGAACAAAUGACGAGUGGGGCGUUUUGCAACACAAAAGGCUUGAUGAGGCAUACCUGGGUACCUGCACACGAUGAUCUGUUUCUGCCCCUGGGAUGCAAACCACUCCUGACUGCUUUGCACAAGAAUGCAGAGAGUUCUGGAAAUCUUCUCACGUGUGCCGAAGAUCGCCAACGUAAAUUUUGCCCGAAUGAGCAGAAGCUUGGGAGACUCUGAAAAGCAUUCACCGGGGCAUGUAGAGGCACAGAAGGAAGAGAGCGGGAGGAAGUUGCUUGGGUCCUCGCGGCAGCCUGGGGAGGCCGCUGGAAUCCUGGUUUGGGAAAGACAUCAACAGGCCCGAGCCUCAGAGUCCUGCACGUGCCCAGGGUCGGAAGCCGUGACCCCGGAAAAUCAGCCUGAGCCUGACUGGUUUGCAUCCCAGGGGCAGCUUUGCCCUGGCCCUGGUCCACGUGGCCCGGCCUAGCUCCCAGGCGGCAGGCGAGAACUUGCCCUUCGUCUGUCGUCGGGAGUGAGAGGAAAGGAAGGCCUGUCUUGUUGGCAGGUGCCAGGCUGGAAGCCAGCGGGGAUCGCCUUGGCCGCGCUGGCCUGCACCCUCUCUGUCCGUCUCCCCCUCUCCCGUGUGUCCGCGAAGGUCCUGACCCUCUCGCUUUUGUAAGAUUCGCUCUCCGCUGGCCACUUGGAUUAGGGGCAGACGUGAGCCUCACGGUCAUCUGGGGCACAAAGACUCUCAGCUGGUUGGGACAUUUGAUCCCCUUUGUUUCAGACGUGUUUGAAAUCCGAGGAGCUGAAUAUUCAGUAGAGUAAGGUCUGACCAUCACGGGUCCGUGACAGAUUUAAAACCAAAAGACACCUUAGCAGCAUCUGGUCCAGCCUCCUUGUUUUGUAGACGAGGGACCAUGGCAUCGGAUGAGAAGUGGGGCUCCUGGAUUCACGGUGCGGGCUGUGUGCCACCAGGGGGCAGGUGUAGCCCCUACUUGUCCUAGUCACCCGCCUCUAUGCCAUCUCAGCUUGCACGGUGGCUCGAGGGCCCUGACUCACCUCCGCUCCAGAAGCAGCCUGGUUAGAUGCAAGCAUCUAACUGGAUUAGGGGCCAGAGACCUGAACUGUGCGACUGUCUGGGACCCCCCCCCCUCCCCGCUUCUGAGCUUCUGUGACCCCUUCCUUCAUCUCUCAGGUGUGUCCGGCUCAUUCACUGUGAGUUUCCCCUUUCACAAGUUGUGUCCCUCUUGUUCCCUGGAGUCUGCUCUCCAAGAGUAGGAACGCAGACCUGAGCCGUAGGUGCUGUCCCCUGAAGCAGUCCCCGCUGUUUAUUCAAAUUCCCUACCGUUCCAAGUAAGGUCCGGCAGUAGCACCUAUAGGAACAUGAGUUGGGUUACAUUUAAACUUAAAUAUGAAAAAUUAUCUUUCUUGGGGAGCUUCAGUUUUCAAGGCAGCCCUUGCUCUCGGCCCGCUCAAACUCCUCUGACAGUCAAGUCGUUUUGUUGCCGCAGCUGGGAGAUGUGUCUUUUUCUUUUUUUUUCAUGUUUAUUUUGGAGAGAGUGUGGGCAGGGGAGGGGCAGAGAGUGAGGGAGACGCAGAAUCCGAAGCAGGCUCCAGGCCCUGAGCUGUCAGCACAGAGCCCAGCGCGGGGCUCGAACUCACGAGCCACGAGAUCGUCACCUGAGCCAAAACCAAGAGUCAGAUGCUUAACCGACCAAGCGUCCCAAGGGGAUGUGUUUGUAAUGCCCCAGUAGAGACAGUGGAGUGUGUCUGACAGGAGAAUUCAUUGUCGCGUGCGUUAAGUUACGGGCAUUUUGGUGAGCAGCUAAACAUAACCGGGAAGCUUCCGCCAUGCGUCUUGGAGAACUGACAUCUGCCAGUGGAGAUGUGGAUGUCCGAGGACCCAAGAUACAUACACGAAAACUUGGCGUUCCUGCCUUGUUAUCCACGUUCUUAGACGCGGGAGAGCCGUGUUUGCCCAAGAGGUUACAGGGACGUUCUGAGUUGGGUGCACCAGGUGGAAAUGAGUUUCUCCACCCUCGGCUGCACCCCUGCGUACCGCACACGGUGACCGGCCACCUCUCCCUCCGCUCUCUUCUCUAGAACCCGGGGGGACCCUGCCGUGCUUCCCUUCCUGUAUCUCUGCCUGGGAUUUUCUCUUUGGAAUGGUCUCCUGAGUGAGAGUCCAGGAUUGUUUGUUUAACAGGAGGAAACUUCGGGAAGGCCUACGUGUGGCCCCACUCUUUCAUGUCUUUUUUUUUAAUAGGCAGGUUUGAGGCGGAGAAACCGUAGGGUGAGACCUUGGUUGUACUGGAUCCCAAAAGGCAAGAAAACAGAAUUUCUGGAGCUUAUUAUUCAGAUAUUCUUAGAUUUUUGCCCGCUAAAUUAUACUAGGGGUGGAGGGGAGUCUAAAUUUCAUUCUGUAUGAUCCCUUUCAGUACAGUGGCUAAAAUGUAAGACUCUGUAGAUUUUACAUCAUAUCUUUGUGGUUAAAAAGGGUAAGGAUCCAUUUCUUGGGCCCCACAGCUAAAAUCAGAAGUCUACCUCAUGUAUGUACUUUUAUAGCAGCAGAGUUAUAGUCUAUCAUUCUUAUUAAAAGCUCUCACUUCCCACCCUUUCCUCCCUUAAAGAUCGUUGUCAAGCCCCAUGGAACCGAAUGUUACCUGUACUCUAAGCAUUACUAGGCAUUUUUUGAAAAACCCUUUUGUGACUUCUUCAGCCAUGUUACUUUUUAUGGAGUAGGAAGUGUAGACGUUGUGAUCUUGCUAGAAGGCUUCAGGACAUUAGGACGUUAGAAAUCCUAUCUUGAGUCUCUGAGUCUAACUCGUCAUAAGAAAUGGGGGCAAUGAGAUGGAGGGGACUUUACUCAAGGUCACGUGGCGGGACAGGGGCCAGGCCAAGCUGGGACCCGGGACUCUUAUCCGUGGGCAGAGCAUGCCUUCCCAGAGUCUGUGAAGCAGCUGGGGGGGGGGGGGGGAGGGGUUGGGGGCAGGCGUCUGGAGAAGAUGUUAGCCUGUCCUUUGAAAGCAAAGUCAUUGGAGUAGUCUCGCGUGACCUUUGAGGGAAUUUGGGUCUUUUUUUUGGACGAAUACAGUCACCGUGGCGAGGAAGAGCCUCAAGGUCAUAGUUGUACCUGGAAAAGACUGAGUGGCUGUCGUCUUGUUUCAGGAUGACUUGGGGGGUGCACAGAGCUAAUCGCUGAUACCUUUUUCUUACCC